rnacentral:ncRNA from 1 species
AGACCUGAAAUCAGGCGAGAUUACCCGCUGAACUUAAGCAUAUUAUUAAGCGGUGGAAAAGAAAAUAACAAUGAUUCCCCUAGUAACGGCGAGUGAACAGGGAAGAGCUCAAAGUGGAAAUCGAAGAUUCUUGACUGAACCUUCGAGUUGUAGCCUCGAGAGGCGUUACCAGUGGAGGCAUAGGGAGAAGUUUCUUGGAAAAGAACAUCAGAGAGGGUGAGAGUCCCGUAUUUGCCCUGUGUCCUUUUGUUCCACGGACGGUGCGCCUUUAUAGAGUCGCGUUCAUCGGGAUUUGAGCGCAAAAUGUGUGGUAAGUUUCACAUAAAGCUAAAUAUUGGCGCGAGACCGAUAGCGAACAAGUACCGUGAGGGAAAGAUGAAAAGUUCUUUGGAAAGAGAGUUAAAAGUGCCUGAAAUUGCCGAAAAGGAAGCGAUUGGAACCUUUUGAAAUCCAAUACGUGAACCUCUUAUUGCAUCGAGCCCCUUUUUCUUUCACUCUCUAAAAGGAGGGAAGAGUUUGGGUAAGGCAAUAGAUGUUAGGGAAGUGAAUCGUGUUGGAGAGGUCAGCAUCAGUUGCAAAGGAGGGAUUAGGGGUGCAGAAGGUAGGUUCCCCGUGGACUGCUUUAUAGAUGCACCAUUUUCUACUUUCCUAUGCGACUGACGUGUACUUCUUGCAUGGAAUUUUCGGGCUACACUCUUUGAGUACUCGAGUUCUGUGAUGCUGGCUUAAACGGUUUCAACCGACCCGUCUUGAAACACGGACCAAGGAGUCUAACAUAUGUGCAAGUAUGCGGGUGGCAAACCUGUAUGCGAAAUGAAAGUGAGAGUAGGGAAGAGAGUAACAUUUCACGAUGUUAUGCUUUGCACCUACGACCGACCACGAUCUCAGAGAGAGGUUUGAGUUGGAGCAUAUCUGUUAGGACCCGAAAGAUGGUGAACUAUGCCUGGGUAGAAUGAAGUCAGGGGAAACCCUGAUGGAGGUUCGUAGCGAUACUGACGUGCA